UACGUAGGGGGCGAGCGUUGUCCGGAUUUAUUGGGCGUAAAGAGCGUGUAGGCGGCCAGGCAGGUCCGUUGUGAAAACUCGAGGCUCAACCUCGAGACGUCGAUGGAAACCAUCUGGCUAGAGUCCGGAAGAGGAGAGUGGAAUUCCUGGUGUAGCGGUGAAAUGCGCAGAUAUCAGGAAGAACACCUAUGGCGAAGGCAGCUCUCUGGGACGGUACUGACGCUGAGACGCGAAAGCGUGGGGAGCGAACAGG
rnacentral:rRNA from 1 species